AAGAUAACGUGCUGAUUUAUGGUACAAGCAAACAGUUUCCAAUUUUUAAGGAUGUGUUUCUCUGACAUGCCACUGCUGGAGGCUCCUGAAAAAUGGUUUUGUCCUGGACCCAAAUCAGUUAAAUCAGGUGGUGGUUCAAGCCCUAAUUUUACUUGGUUACGGUUGGUGACAGAGAUGGAGGACUGGAAGCCGGGUUUUGAAGAAUAGAAAGCAUUGGUUGAAUGGAGUUCCAUUGGUGAUAUAAGAGCCGAAAAGUUAAAGAAUUGGGUGAAUAAAGCUACCAAUAUGGAUAAAAUAAAGAGGUUGGUGGUGUCAAAGUCACCUGGAUGUGAUCGAUUCAGGUUAUGGAUGGUUGGGAUCACAACGGCGAUGCUUUUGCAGUGGGUUUUGUCAUCGCAAUCAGGAGACGAUAGAGGCACGGUUACAACCAAGGUUGAAGCGCCACCCUAUUUUCCACCCCCGUGGGAUUACAAGAACCAAGGUUACUUGAUGGUUUCAUGCAAUGGCGGAUUGAAUCAAAUGAGAGCCGAUAUAUAUGGGAUGUGGAUUACUUCAUCAAAUCACUGAGCAGUGAGGUACGAAUCAUCAAACAUCUCCCACCAAGGCUGAGAAAAAAAGUUGAGACAGAUGGACUCUAUUCAAUGUUCCCCGCUAGCCUAUUACUACAACACGGUUUUUCCUCGAUUUCAAAAAUAUGAAGUGGUUCGUUUUGCGAAAACUGAUUCUAGGCUUGGUAACAAUCUGGCGGUGGAGGUUCAAAAAAUGAGGUGCAGAGUUAACUAUGAGGCACUAAGGUUCACUCCUGCAAUAGAAGAGGCAAUAUGGAAAAAGUUGUGGAAGGCCAUAGAAGGUACCUGGGAUACAAGAUGACAAUUAGUCUAGACAGAGCGGUGUUGAUUAGUUUGAUAGAUGGAUACAAAAAUGGAAUGAAUU